rnacentral:lncRNA from 1 species
AGCCUCCCACAUGGGCUUGGAGGUGAGCUUUCCACAAGCCCCAGCAGCGGUCUCGGGCCACCUGAGGCAAGCGCCUCACCCUGCUUAACUAUAUGGCCGGACCCACUUUCUGGUAACACAGAGAUGAAUCACUCCAUUCCAGCCUCUUCUCCAUAUCAACUUAUUUUAUCAGAAUGACUUGAGAGCUGGCCUUCGGGAAGCUACUCAGCACCACAUCCAAUCCUGCAUGAAUUGGCUGAGAAUGACUUUGGUCCCCUUUCGUUGGCUCUGUUCAUAUGGCUACAGCAUAGAUUAUUGCUGUAUGGUCAGAAUAAUCUGAGAAGCCCUAGGAUACACGGGAAGAGUCUGCUUUGUGGGAGUCCCCCCCCCAGGAAACGGUGCACAUGUUGGCAUGGGAAAGUACAGUACCAUGAAUACGGCCAUUGUGUUAUUAUCACAACAACCGCGGGGAGAACUUUCUAAAGCCAGGAGAGCCUGGUGAGAAAUACAUUUCUUGUGCUUCAAACACAGGAGGAAAUGUUGAUAUAUUUGUUCCUUCUUUCCCUUUUGGACUGGAAAGCUGUAACAGCCACAAGCCUCUGCAGGGAAAAAUGCAAACAACAUGAAGGUCAGGCUCAAGAUAUUUUUCUGCCUGAGGCUCAGUCCUUCCUCCCCCAUUCUGCCCACCUGUCUUUCCUGAGAGAAGCGAUCAUGAGCUUAAGCACCACCACAGUCUGUUCAGCCGCCAUCCUCCCUUUCUUCCCAGAAUUACCCAGCAUGUCAAGAGAAGGUGCCAAAUCUCGCCACCUCUGCCAAGUUCAUGGGCUGAAGGGAGAAUGCAAUGACCCUGAACAGAGGCAAGCAGGGGAGACUAGCUAUUGUUCCUGGAGCACAAUGCCUGCCAGAAUCAAAACAGACAGAGAUGAACAAAUGCUAAUUUCUCCUUUUCCGCCAUGAGACACCAGAGUAAAAAAUGCUAAUGGCAUCUGCCAGGGCCUGAGAUAAAAAGUCUGUGUGUUUGUGUGUGCUUAUGUGGUUGGGUUUGAACUGCAAGAUAAGCCGGCAAACAAGGUAAUUAAAAUAAUUAAAAUGCUAAUCAAAGGGGGGCAUCGAGCAGAAUGAUACACAGACAGUGAGGGGGUAGGGAAGGUGAAAUGUUGGAAGAGGAGGGCAAA